rnacentral:lncRNA from 1 species
GCAAACUACUUCGUCCCAUGUUCGAUCCACGCUGAUUCCAACAAAAGCGAAUGCAACAUGUUCUGUCUUGACUGCACUUCUAGUUCCUUUUGCUCUUACUGUUUGACCAAUCACAAAAACCAUCGUGUCCUUCAGGUUUGUUCUUCACCAUAUCUCAAUUUGUUUUUCUCUUAAAUUCACAAAAAAACAUAAUAAUAAAAUCGAAUGUUUAUCCUUAGAUACGAAGAUCAUCGUACCACAACGUUGUGAGGGUGAAUGAGAUUCAGAAGUACAUAGACAUCUCUUGUGUCCAGACAUAUAUAAUCAACAGCGCAAGGAUCGUGUUCUUGAACGAACGUCCUCAGCCAAGAAUCGGCAAAGGCGUUACCAAUACUUGCGAAAUAUGUUGCAGAAGCCUCCUUGAUUCUUUCCGUUUCUGCUCUCUUGGUUGCAAAGUAAAUACAAAUCUCUUUUCUCAUUCCACUUCAAGGAAGAUCUCUUCCUCUAUUUUUGUUUUUGAUUUAAAUAAACGUAUAAAUUAUUGUGUAAAGUUUUAAAUUUUAUUCUAAUCUUAAAUUUAAAAUUCGCCAUUUCAAAAGAACAGUUGAAACUACUAAUUUUUUAAACUAUAUUAUUAUUAUUUUUUAAAUGUCAGUUAAUAUUUUUUUUUAAAUAGAGCGUACAAAUAAAUUGAUAUGUCACUGACCAUGUUGAUCUUGUUUUGGGUGAUUCAGCUUGGAGGGAUGAAAAGAGGAAAUCAAAGUCUAACCUUCUCUUUGAAAGGGAAGCAUGGGAGGGAGUAUCAAGCUGGGGAGGACUCUGAUGAGGCGACCACACCAACUAAGAUACGCAAGACAUGUGCUUU